CGCAUCCUCUCCCCCACCCAUACCCCUGUAGGCCAAAUGAGAGGCAUGGCUGAGCAUGGAGGGCUGAGGGAGGUGCGAUGGAGCUGCUGGUGGCUGAGGGAGGCUCGAGGUGGCGGCUGGAUCCGUGGGUGGCGGCGUACGGCUAGGUGAACCGGUUCCUAGCCUCAAAACCUCCUCAGGUAUGCCUCGCUUGUUCCCACCCAAAGCCCCCUCAGACCCCCCUAGCAAAAUCUCCUUCCCUCCUGAAGCCCCUCGUUCAGGUGCGAUGCAGAAAUCUCCUUCAUCUCCCCCUUCCCUUCAUCCUCAUCGGUUCUUCAUCUCCCCCAUCCUUCAUCCUCAUGAAGUUUGCACCUCAAAGUGACCUGCAAGCCCUCAGACCCGUGCUUCAUCUCCAGAAAUCCAACACACCAUGAUUUGAAAAAAAAAACCCAAUAAUCCGCGGCGAAACAGGGUUACACCGUACAUUUUUGCUUCUCUGCGAUUUCGACGCUGGGCCUCUUUAGAUCUGAUGCAGAUCAAACAAAUUGGAAUGGGACAGUUGCACUGGUCAACUACAAAGUAUGCUCAUUUGCAUGAUUGGACAGUUGCACCGGAAUCAAGCAAUAUGAAAGAUAAAGAAACUCAAGACGAAGUUGGAUUGGAUAUUAUUUUGUUGUGAUUUGUGUUGUAAUUAUUUUAUAUUC